GACGAACGCUGGCGGCGUGCUUAACACAUGCAAGUCGAACGCUGAAGCUCAGCUUUUGUUGGGUGGAUGAGUGGCGAACGGGUGAGUAACACGUGAGUAACCUGCCCCCUUCUUUGGGAUAACGCCCGGAAACGGGUGCUAAUACUGGAUAUUCACUGGUCUUCGCAUGGGGGUUGGUGGAAAGGGUUUUUCUGGUGGGGGAUGGGCUCGCGGCCUAUCAGCUUGUUGGUGGGGUGAUGGCCUACCAAGGCUUUGACGGGUAGCCGGCCUGAGAGGGUGACCGGUCACAUUGGGACUGAGAUACGGCCCAGACUCCUACGGGAGGCAGCAGUGGGGAAUAUGGCACAAUGGGCGCAAGCCUGAUGCAGCGAUGCCGCGUGAGGGAUGGAGGCCUUCGGGUUGUGAACCUCUUUCGCUCAUGGUCAAGCCGCAACAAUGGUUGUGGUGAGGGUAGUGGGUAAAGAAGCGCCGGCUAACUACGUG
rnacentral:rRNA from 1 species